rnacentral:lncRNA from 1 species
CUCUGUCUCAAAAAAAAAAAAAAAAAAAAAAAAACCCAAGAAGGUGAGGGCAAAUUCAGAAGCUAUAGAGUGGAAAUAUGUAAUUUUUGAGGUAAAAUUUAACAAAGAUUCCCUGAGGAAAAGAUGUGCGUAGGGAGAGAACAGCAUGAUGCCAGUGAAAACAAACUGGGAACAGGCAGUUAAGCAGGAUCGAAUACCAUUUCUUUCUUAGGCGUUUCUGUGACAUUUAAAGCUUAUUUGGUUAAAGGCUUUACUCAGCAAAGGAUAUAUCUGUGAGGUUUCCACAAUUUUCUCUAUUUGGAUUACAAUUCCUGUUGUUCCUGGACUGCAUCUUCACAUGCUAAGUAUGUAAAGUCCAUGAUACCUCAAGUUGUGUUAGAUAUCAGAAAUCCUGAGUCUUCGAUGUUUAGUUUGCUCUUAGAUAUCAGGAUAGCCCACCAACUCUCAGUAGCUUAGUGAGUUAAGUCAGGGGUCAAAAAACUACCCCCUGUGGGCCCAAUCCAGCCCACUUCCUUAAAGGUUUAUUAGAAUAUAGCAAUGCCUGUGUUUUAGUGUAUUAUCUAUGCUUUCUUGCUGCAGUGUCAAAAUUUAGUAGUUGUGACAAAAACUAUGGACCACAAAAUCUAAAAUAUGUGCUUUCUGGCCCUUUACAGAAAAACGUGUACUAAGCCUUAUGUUAAACCAAAUGAUUUGUCUCCCAUAACUUAAAAAAGACCCCAGGUAGAGCAGGACUUAGACCUGCUUCUGUCAGGAUUCCAAAAUGAUUUUUUUUGAUUCUCAUAUCUGCCCUUCUGGUUAACCCUGGUCUUUAGGUUCAAGAUGGGGCUAGCAACCAGGGAGCACCUAUCUUUUCUUUUCAGUCAGUGGAAGGGAGGUGCUCUUUCAUUUGUAGUGUUAGGUAGUUUACUACUCACAGUGUUUGUGGCUCCUCUGGCCUUGAUUCUCAUCUACACUCAAGAUUAGACAGCUAGUUGUGUGUCCAGUUCUUUUGGCCUUUGUGAACUAUCAAGUUUCAACUCAGCCAGGUGCAGUGGCUCACACCUGUAAUCCCAGCCCUUUGGGAGGCUGAGGUGGGAGGAUCUCUUGAGCUCAGGGGUUCAAGAUUAGCCUGGGCAAUAUAGUGAGACCCUGUCUCUCCAAAAAAAGUUUUAAAAGUUAGCUAGCCAUGGAGGCACACAUGUGUGGUUCCAGGUACUCAGGAAGCUGAGAUGGAGGGAUCACUUGAGCCCAGGAGGUUAAGGCUGCAGUGAGCUGUGGUCCCAACACUGAACUGCAGCCUGGUGACAGAGUUGAGACACUGUCUCAAGAAAAAAAUAAGUUUCAUCUCUCCCUUGCACCAUGGACUCAACUUCCCUAUUUUGAGCCUCCAGGAGAUUUUUCUAUCUUAGCUUUUAGCUUGGCUGCAUAUUAACAUUUGGGAGAAUUUGUUAUAUAUUAUCAGGAUUCCUUUGUUUUUGAGAAAGAGGGAUGCAAAGCCAAAAUCAGCGGCUGAAUGACAACACAUUUAAUUCAGAACUUUUAGGGUGUCUUAUGUCACAAGGCAUCAAUGAGAAGGAAUGGAAUCCUGAAAAAUUUGGGAACAGAUGAGCAGAUUCCAACAAAGCUGAGGGUUUUGCUCAAUCUAGCUGAGCAUCUCUUGCCGUUAGAAGGAGCCCUUCUUCCUCUAUUUGAAGUCAGUCUCCCUUGCCUGAAAAGCCUGUGAUGACCUUCCCUGAGAUGGUUUCCUUGCAAAAGGCUUUAGAUCCUCAAGACUUGCUUCCACUACCUCUCAUUUUUCUAGACCAAUAAUGAAACUCGGGUCUUCACAGACAAUGGGAGGAGUCACCAAGUAGAAAAUACGACCAUGAGGAGAUACAUCGCCAAAGUAUAUGUGCAUGAGAACCUUCUUUUCAUCACCUUCCCUGGCUCCAUUUGUCCUGCUACGGUGACACCAGUCUUUUAGUCCAUACAUUUGACUUCAUGAGGAGUUUGCUAUAAUCAAUUGAAUGAAGAAGAAACAUGUGGACCUGCUUUAUAGGUAAUUCUGCAUAAUGUUCUAGCAUCACCUAAAACCGGACAGCUGGCACACUACAGCCUCAGGCUGUGGUGGCCCCAAAGGAGAGUGGUAAAAGAAAAUAUUCCCAUUUGUUAGAAUUUUGAGUAGUGUACUUCAUAGUUUUUUUUUUUCCCAGAAGGAAUGAUGCCAGGGGGAUGAAUAGUUUUGCUGGAUGGUCAUGGACUUCAAAGAAGCAUGAUUGAUAAUUGGUUGACAAGGCAAAUUGACAAUGAGGUAUGUGAGUGGACUACUUUUAAUGAGCAGAAUAUAAAAUUACUUGCGGCCUAUUUAAUUGUCAAUAAUCAGCAACCUCACCAGAAGAUGAGCUUAAUAAUCAGGUGAUCAAGAUGGUACAUUCUGUGAAUAUUCUUCAAGAUUUUUCUCUAGUCAACCAUGUCCAUUCCCAGUGGGUGCAUGAACAGUGUAGUCAUGGUGGAAGAAAUGGAGCUUAUUAGUUCAGUACUAUGAAAUUCCAUUUACUAAAUCCAAUCUGGCUACAACCACAUUUAUAUGGCCAAGCUAUCAAAAGUAUGGACUAACACUGGACCUCAGAUAGGCACUGUUCUUCAAAGGGGACUACCAACCUCCUGCUGGAAUUUGAUUACACCGGACCACUUUGAUCAUGGAGGAGACAGCACUUUGUUUUCAGUGGAAAAGACAAUUACUCUAGAUAUGAAUUUGCCUUUCCUAUUCCAAUGUUUCUGAUAAAAGCAUCACAUGUGGACUUUACAAAAUGUUUUAUUUUCUGCCAUGGAAUUCCACCCAGCAUUUCUUGUGACCAGGGCAGUCAUUUUUCAAAAAAUGAAUUGUAUCCAUUGGGCUCAUGUUGAUAGAAUUCACUAAACUUACCAUGAUUCCUGUUAACAGUUCCAUUUCAGUAGUGGGACAUGCCUCAAUUCUCAGAAGUCCUACCAUCUCUGAUUUGUCUUCCCAUGUUUGUUUACCUAAUUCCUACUUUAAAAUGUCCUUGUCCCUAAAAUCCUAGUGAUUCUGCUUCUCUGAUUGAACCCUGACUGAUAUUGAACCAUUUCUGCUCCUUUUCAGACACUACCCCUCUCUCUCAACUAUAAUCACUUUCCUAACUUCUAUCACCAUUGACUACUUUUCCUUUUAUCUUUAUAUAUAUGAAACCAUAUUGUAUAUAUCCUUUUGUGUCUCUGUUUUGCCCAACAUUAUGUUUGUGAGAUUGAACUAUGCUGCUGUUUUAUAGCAAUUGUUUACUUAUUUUGUUACUGUAGAGCAAGUGUAGGCACACUACAUCCCAUGGGUGAAAUCUUGUAUAUAUUUCGGGGUGCACAUGUGUGUGUGUUUCUGCUUGCUAGAAGUGGAAUUUCUGUGUCAUGGAGAAUACAUAAAUUUAACUCUAGCAGAUACUGUGAAACAUUUUCCAAAGUGAUUGUACCAAUUUACACUCUUACAAGGACCGUGGUAGAGUUCCAUCUGCUCCACGUGCUUGCCAAUGUUUGGUGUUGUCAGACUUAAAUUAUUUUUAAAUUAUUUUUUAAAUUCACCAUUCUAAUUUUUUAAAAGAAGUAGAGUAUAAUGCUGGUUACCAGGGGCUGGAGUGGAGGGGUUGGGACAUAUUGGUCAAAAGAUAUAACAUGUCAGUUAUACACGAGUAAUUUUUAAAAAAUCAGUGAUUCUGGUAUGGCAAUAGAGUUGUCUCAUUGAGGGUUUAAUUUAUACUGCUGUAAUGACUAAUGAAGUUGAGCAAACAGAGCAUGUAUCUGAAGCCUUGUACAUUUGUAUAUUCUUCAUAUAGUGCUUACUCAAGUGAUUUGUUGAUUUGUCUAUUUGGUUGUCAGUCUUAUUCUUGUAUUUAUAGGAUUUCUUUAUAUUCUGCUUACAAGCCUUUUGACAUAUGUGUGUAUUGUGAUUAUCUUUUCAACUGUGGCCAGCAUUUUCACUUUCCUUAUGGUACAUUUGAUAAACAACCAUUCUCAUUUUAAGUUUUUUAAUUUUACUUUUCAGUUGGUACUUUAAAAAAUCGUUGCCAACAUUAGAGAAGGUCACAAAGAUAUUUUAGUAGCUAUUUAAAAAAAUCUUUUAAUUUUAAGAUCUAUAUUCCAUAUCAUAUUGAUAUUUACAUAUGGGAUGUGCUAAAGGUCAAGAUUAAUUAUUUUUCUAUGUGAAGAAUAUACAAUAUCCUCACUUCUUAAGAGAUUUCUCCAUUUUAUUAUCUUUGUCAAAUAUCAAAUGACUAGAUAUAUGUAAAUCUGUUUCUGAACUUUCUAUUAUCUUCCAUUAGUCUAUUCAUAUUUGCAUAUAUAGCACACUUUUAAUUACUGCAAAUACAUAAAAUGUCUUGAUGUCUUAUCGCAUAAACCCACCUCUUUCUAUUUUCUUUUGAUGUUUUGGUUAUUCUUGACUGUUGCUUUUGUUUACAGAUUUUAGACUCAGCUUGCCAGUUUUCACCAAAAAACUGCUGAGAAUUUUAUUAAAUAUAUAGAUUAUUCAAAGGAGCACUGAUAGCUUUACAACAUUGAAUUGUCCAGUAUCUGAAUAGCACCACAUAUUUUAAAUUUUCAUUGAAGUAUAAAUAUAUGUAGAAAAAUGUAUAUGUCAUAUGUGUCAUGAUUGUUUAAUUUUCAACACACUCAAAAUACCAGCAUCUGUAUCAAGAAACUGCACAUAACCAGCAUGUGGUAGCCAUGAAAAUGUAUUUCACAAAUAUUUUAAUGCAAGUAACCAAAGACCCCUAUUGUUGUGUUUUAAGGUCAAUCCUGUGUUUGCAUCAAGGCCAGAUUUUCUGAAGGCUGCUGCUCCCAGUCAAUAUCUGAGAGCAGUAAGGAUUCUAAGGUAGACCUGUUCAGGGAGACAUGGAUCUUCUCUGUUGGAUAGAUAAGAUUGUGAAUACCUGACUUUAAUGGCUUUUUCUUUAAUAUAACUUUUCUUUCUUUUUUUUGAAAUUUAGUCUCGCUCUGUUAUACAGGCUGGAGUGCAGUGGUGCGAUCUCGGCUCACUGCAACCUCCACCUCCAGGGUUCAAAGGAUUCUCCUGCCUCAGUCUCCCAAAUAGCUGGGAUUACAGACAUGCCACCACACCCAGCUAAUCUUUGUAUUUUUAGUAGAGACGGUGUUUCACCAUGUUGGCCAGGUGGGUCUUGAACUCCUGACCUCAGGUGAUCCGCCCGCCUUGGCUUCCCAAAGUGCUGGGUUACAGGUGUAAGCCACUGCACCUGGCCUAAUGUAACUUUUCUUAAGCUGUAUGGAAGUCUAGAAUGAUUUUAUCAAAUCUUCCUUUGUUGUUGUGUUGUUGUUGCUGUUGUUGUUGUUGAGACAGGGUCUCACUCUGUCACCCAGGCUGAAGUGCAGUGGCACAAUCUUGGCUCACUGCAACCUCUGCCUCCCCGGCUCAAGUGAUCCUCCAGCCUCUGCCUCCCAAGUAGCAGGGACUACAGGCACGUGCCACCACACCCAGUUAGUUUUUGUAUUUUUUUGUAGAGACAGAGUCUCACUUUGUUCCCUGGGCUGCCUUUUGUUCUUUACUCAGUGUUAGAUUUACAUCAUGGUGCAGCUUCUCUCCUGUUUUCUCUCACAAUCAUUUCCCCUAAUAAAAUUCUUACACAACUAA